CCUCUCGUUUUAACAAUGAAUUAUCAAGGUCACCCCCUCUCCUAGGCAGGGUGACAUGUUCGAUGCCAAUAUAACGCAGAGACGAAAUCGAGUGGCCUGCCUCCAAGAAGUGGGCCGCAACUGGGUGUUCAGGGUCACAACCGCUGGAGGGUGACUUACACCAAGAGGAGAAUCUGUGUCUUGAAGGGCUCCACAGUGAACAUAUCCUGCUCUUACACUCAUCCCACUAGUUAUAUAGAACAAGGUUCAUUCUGGUUUACACAGAAACACCCUGUAGAUGUCAGGUCAUAUCCAGAGUCUGCAGGUCGUGUGCAGUACAAUAGGAACACAGAGAACCACCACACCAUGACAAUAACACACCUGACAGAGAAGGACUCGGCUGAAUACAAAUUCAGAAUAAUAACAACAGAAGAGGGGAGAUUUUCUGGUCUUCCUGGUGUGAUGUUGACUGUCACAGAUAUCCUGUUGGAGAUGGAUCCUACGUCUGUGUCAGAGGGGGAGAGAGUCACACUGAGAUGUAGAACCAAAUGUACAGUCAGUCUCAACCCCACCUACAUCUGGUACAAGAACGGACAAAGUCUGACCAACCCAAUCACCAGUUAUAACAGCCUGAUCCUAGACCCAGUCACCAGUUAUAACAGCCUGAUCCUAGACCCAGUCACCAGUUAUAACAGCCUGAUCCUAGACCCAGUCACCAGUUA